rnacentral:pre_miRNA from 1 species
GAAAACUUGAAAACUACCGUUGAAUCAAAAAAUAUACGUCCGAAAUUCUUCCACAUCAUCACGAUUAAAAAUUUCACUCGCGGAUUUACUCAUGAGUAAAAAAUUUUGUUGGGAGUAAAAUUUUACUCAUGAUGACGUGAAUGAAUCUCGGAUGUUCAUUUCUCGAUCCAACGGUAGUUUUCAAGUUUUC